rnacentral:tRNA from 1 species
UCCCUGGUGGCCCAGGGGUUAAGACUCUGCACUUCCAAUGCAGGGGACCCAGGUUUGAUCCCUGGUCAAGGAA